CAGGGAGCCCGACAUGGGGCUCGAUCCCAGAACCCUGAGAUCAUGACCUGAGCCGAAGGCUGACAUUUAACCGACUGAGCCCCCCAGGCGCCCCUGGGACCUGCCUUCCAAUAGAGCACCUGUAUGGGCAGGUUUGCAUCCCAGGGAAUUGGCUUGGUGGUGCCAGGGCAUGGGAACCCAGGCCAAGUUUGAUAAAGACCCCGGGGAAACCACACCACCAGUGGAGGCAGCACCAGCCAGCGGGAGCCUGCCUGAACCACGGCUCCUCGCUUUGUCGGUGGCGGAGCCUGGGUCACGGUCUGUUCGGGCUGGCACAGCAGACCCCAGAGACUGGCUGGUUAAACGACAGACGUUGACCGCUCACGGUCCUGGAGGCUGGAAGCGUCAGGUCAAGCAGGUGCCGGCCGAUGCAGUUCCUGCUGAGGAUCUCCCCCGCUGGCAGACGGCCACCUCCUUCCUGCGUCCUCCCAUGGCUGAGACCGCAAGAGCUCUGGUCUCUUUUCCUCCUCUAGGAACGCUAAUCCCAUCAUGGGAACCCCCACCCUCACGACUUCAUCUAAACCUCAUUUCCUCCCAAAGGCCCCGUCUCCAAGUACCAUCGAGGUGAAGGGUCGGGCGUGGGUCUUUAACACCUGGUCUCUGUGCUUCUCUGUGAUGAUCUUUGUGCCUCCUCCGUCGGUCAUGCUGACCUCUGGGCUGAGCUUCUCCAACUACCCUUGGCGAAGUUUUCUUAUUUGCAGUAGGGCAUGAUGUGUGAUGAGAAAGAUGACAUUAUUGCAUAAAAAAGACAUGAAAUACGAGCUCAUUUCUUCUUUUAUUCUGAGAUUCCACUGACAGAGCCUUGCUGUUAAAUUGGUGUGGAUGCUGCUGAAGGCUCGCUGUCCCCUCUGUGUUCAUCUCCCUGUGGAGCCAUCACCGAGCCUCUCAGGAACCAGGCUUCCUGCGUGGGCCACUUUCUGAGGGCCGCUGCCUUGAGCCCCAUGAGAUACACCCCGUCAGCCCCCACAUCAGUGGGACGCCGCCACUUCCAGAGACAAAGACUCGCAUUGGGGUCCCAGUGAAGAUGCAAGACUCCUCCCCAGAGGACAGAGCAGCCUGCUUGACAAGAACAGAGGGGUCCUCUUUCCCAAAAGCACUGGAUGUCAAAACAGAGGGGUCUUGGGUGGGGGCGGAAGCCUCUGGGAAUCCGGACAGGAGUGAACAUUUCCCAGCAGAAACUUUUCCUGGCAAGAGAACUGGAGAGGAAGAGACCCUUCCCUCACAGCUUCAGGAGGAACCAGCCCUGCCCACGUCUUGAUGUCAGAUUUCUAACCACCGGAACUGUGAGAAAAUAAAUUUUGCCAGCAGUGAAAUAAGGGGCGAGCCUGCGAUCCCCAAGACUCAGCCUGAUUGUGUUCUGAGCCUUCAGUAUGGUUGCAGGGAUGAUGCAUCACAAAACGAAACAAAUUAGUCCUUGGGACAGAUGACCCAGGGGCAAAUCAGCCACCACAACAAAAAAGACAAGCGUUCAAACCAACAAGAGAAGAUUGUAAUGCCUUCCUAGCAACGUUGCUUUAUUGAUGCAAUGCAAGGAAAACUACAUUAGAUUCUAUUGAUUCUCCUUGAGAUCUAAUAAUAUGCUUUACUCAGAUCUUAUUCACGUACCACUUCCUCCACGGUCUUUCUCAGGAGCUGAAAUUGGCCAGUUACAAACAGAAUUUGUUCUCCUGUCCUUUGAAAUCACAGAAGUGGACGUGUUUUAGAACACAAAAGAUACUAAGCUUUCUCAGGGAAACAAAGCAGAGCUGGAAGAAAAAAAAAAAAUCUCCCUCUAAACAAAAUUGAAAGCAUGCCUUACUUUAGAUUUAUUUGAUUACAAAGUCUUUCUCGGAGCUAAUCAGUUUUAGAACCGGUUCCUAUUGGCACCAAUGAGCCAAUAAAAAAUCCAGGAGAGAAGAAGUAUCACAACAACUCAAGGAAACAAGGUUGUUCAUUUUUUUAAAAAUGAAUUUUUUAAAAAAAUUGAAUUAAUGCCUAUGCCGCUGAGUCAAAUUAUUUAUACAUAUGCUAUAGGUUUUGCAUCCCCAGAAUUUGUUAGCAUUCAGAGUAUGAUAAAUUGUCCCUGACUGACUUGUGAAAAAUCGUCUCAAGAAGGAUUUUUUUUCCCCCACAGCGGGAAAAUAUGUAGAUGACACACGGUGGUUUAUUGAAACUGUUCUUCAGAUGAACAGCCUGAAGGGAGAGGCAGGUUUUUAGAGGUCACAACAAUGGUUAAGAAUUUCGGCUGUGGGGCAGUGUUAUAAUGCUCAUGAAGUCACUUCACUCCUGUACCUCGUGUUCUUCAUCUCUCCAGUAGGUUCCAAACUCAGGGCUUUCUGCAAAAUUCAGAGGGAUCAUACGUGAGCCCUCCCAGGAUUAAGAACCUAAUAAAUCUCAGUUUUUGUAUCAUUAUUAUUAUAGAGAAUCUUUUCCUGUUUAUAUUUCAUCUGCAGAAAAGCUACAAAAAGGAUUGAAUUUGUUGGAAAAAAAACAAAGGUCUUGCGGCUCUUUAAUGCACGUGCUAUGUCAGUUCUAAGAAGGGAUGUUAACAAGUGUUAGUAAGCCUGUGUGUUGCUGGUGGGGUGUUAAACGGUCAGACCCUUUGGAAAACUGGUCGUUCCUUAAAAAGUUAAAUACAGAGUUACUAUAUAGCCCAGCAGUUCCACUCCUAUCUGUAUAUAUAUAUACACCCAAGGGAAUCAACAAUAUACAUCCGUACAAAAUUUGUCCACAGAUGUUCAUUGCAGCAUUACUCACAAUAGCCAAAAGGUGGAAACAGCUUAGGUAUCUAUCAGCUAAUGAGUAGAUAAGCAAAAUGUGGUAGAAUAUUAUCCUGGCAAAACGUAGCAAUGAUACACUGGUAGAUGGUACAAUGGGAAUAAACCAUAAAUACAUUGUACUAAGUCAAAGAAGCCAGGUGUCACAAAAAAAACACCUCUUGUGUGAUUCCAUUUUUUAAAAAAAUUUUUUGAUUUAGAAGUUUUAUUUUUAUC